GACGAACGCUGGCGGCGUGCUUAACACAUGCAAGUCGAACGGAAAGGCCCUGCUUUUUUGUGGUGCUCGAGUGGCGAACGGGUGAGUAACACGUGAGUAACCUGCCCUUGACUUUGGGAUAACUUCAGGAAACUGGGGCUAAUACCUAAUAGGAGCUCCUUCUGCAUGGUGGGGGUUGGACAGUUUCGGCGGUUGGGGAUGGACUCGCGGCUAAUCAGCUUGUUGGUGGGGUAGUGGCUUACGAAGGCUUUGACGGGUCGCCGGCCUGGGAGGGUGACCGGGCACAUUGGGACUGGGAAACGGCCAAGACUGCUACUGGAGGAAGCGGUGGGGAUGAUUGGACAAUGGGCGGAAGCCGGAUGCAGGAACGCCGCGUGGUGGAGGACGGUUAUCGGGGUGGAAACCGCUUUCGCCUGUGAGGAAGAGUGAGUGACGGUAAUGGGUAAAGAAGCACCGGCUAACUACGUG
rnacentral:rRNA from 1 species